CUCAAGACAAGCCUCUAGUGAGCUAAAUAGUGUCCGUACUCUAAACCGACGCAGGUGGGUGGGAUGAAAAUUCUAAGGCGUUGAGUGAAACCUCGUUAAGGAACUCGGCAACUUAACACCGUAACUUCGGGAGAAGGUGUGCCCUCUCGGGUCAUGGGCCUUGCGUCCGCAGCCUGGGAGGGUCGCAGAGAAGUGGCCGCAGCGACUGUUUACUAAAAACACAGGACUCUGCUAAAUCGCAAGAUGACGUAUAGGGUCUGAUGCCUGCCCGGUGCCGGAAGGUUAAGGGGAAGUGUUAUUCAACUCGUUGGAGAAGCACCGAACCGAAGCCCCGGUAAACGGCGGCCGUAACAAUAACGGUCCUAAGGUAGCGAAAUUCCUUGUCGGGUAAGUUCCGACCUGCACGAAUGGCAUAACGACUGCGGCGGUGUCUCAACGAGGGGCUCAGUGAAAUUGCAGUGCCAGUGAAGAUACUGGCAACCCGCGGAAGGACGGAAAGACCCCGUGCACCUUUACUACAACUUGACAUUGUAUUCUGGGUAGGUCUGUGUAGGAUAGGUGGGAGGCUGUGAAGCCGGGACGCUAGUUUCGGUGGAGCCAACCUUGAAAUACCACCCUGAUCUGCUUGGGCUACUAACCUGCACCCGUAAUCCGGGUGGGGGACAGUGUCUGGUGGGUAGUUUGACUGGGGCGGUCGCCUCCUAAAGAGUAACGGAGGCGCGCGAAGGUUCCCUCAGGCUGAUCGGAAACCAGCCGGCGAGUGCAAAGGCAUAAGGGAGCUUGACUGCGAGACAGACAUGUCGAGCAGGUGCGAAAGCAGGUCUUAGUGAUCCGGUGGCGCCGAAUGGAAGGGCCAUCGCUCAACGGAUAAAAGGUACGCCGGGGAUAACAGGCUGAUCUCCCCCAAGAGUUCACAUCGACGGGGAGGUUUGGCACCUCGAUGUCGGCUCAUCGCAUCCUGGGGCUGGAGCAGGUCCCAAGGGUAUGGCUGUUCGCCAUUUAAAGCGGUACGCGAGCUGGGUUUAGAACGUCGUGAGACAGUUCGGUCCCUAUCCUCCGUGGGCGGAGGAGAUUUGAGGGAAGCUGCCCCUAGUACGAGAGGACCGGGGUGGACGGACCAAUGGUGCUCCUGUUGUCGCGCCAGCGGCAUAGCAGGGUAGCUAAGUCCGGAACGGAUAACCGCUGAAAGCAUCUAAGUGGGAAGCCGCUCCCAAGAUAAGAUCUCCCUUCGUUCUCGUAACGACUGAAGGCCACACGUAGACUACGUGUUUGAUAGGCUGGGUGUGUAAGCGCAGUAAUGUGUUGAGCUAACCAGUACUAAUCGGCCGUGAGGCUUGACUCG
rnacentral:rRNA from 1 species